rnacentral:rRNA from 1 species
UACGUAGGGGGCAAGCGUUGUCCGGAAUCAUUGGGCGUAAAGCGCGUGUAGGCGGCUCGAUAAGUCUGCUGUGAAAGUCCAGGGCUCAACCCUGGGAUGCCGGUGGAUACUGUCGAGCUCGAGUCCGGAAGAGGCGAGUGGAAUUCCUGGUGUAGCGGUGAAAUGCGCAGAUAUCGGGAGGAACACCAGUAGCGAAGGCGGCUCGCUGGGCCACACCUGACGCUGAGACGCGAAAGCUAGGGGAGCGAACAGG